UUACCAUUCCUGGGAUUUUCUUAAAUACCGCUGCUGUCCUGCGUCUGAAUCCACCUCCAAGCGAGCGCCAGUGUCUGGUGUGAAACAUAAACAACAAAAACUGCUUUCAACACAACCUGGUGGAGAAGCUCAUCAUCUUUGAUCUGCUGAGGAGCCUGUUUCAGAGAAGAUGGCUGAGCGAUGAAGGGAAGCUGCGGUGAUUCCUGCGAGGCAGUCUUCACCACCACACACACGCGCGCACACACACACACCUCCUCUUCCUCACGACAGUGAAGCAUCAUGUGUGACUCACAGCUGGGAAUUCCUUUGGGUGGUGACGGGCACGUCCUCGCCUCAGCGCUCGCCUCUGAAUGGAGGCGACAGCGCGCUGAGUGUGCGUUUUAUCUGUGUGUGAUAUUAUGACAUUAGCUUCUGGCUAAUGGCCUCUUAGCACGCUUGUAGUUUGCAGACACGCUGCAUCAGGCACAGAGCUGCUUCUAAUAUCACUAAAUAUUGAUAAAGUUAUUUUUUUGUGCAAUUUGUGGGCAAGGCUGAGCACUAUGCCCCGAAUAGCUGAGGUUCACUGUCCUCUUUACAUCUCCAUGGUGUGGAGCAACAGUGUAGCCUGCUGGCUGGUCAUCACACUACUCCAUCUUCAACCCUAUUUUACAGUAAAUACAGAACAUUUUAUAGCUUUGAGUAGAGCGCCGACCUUAGCCAACGUCGAGCUUUUCGGUCUUGAUGGAGCUAAUAAAGCGGAUUCCUCAACCGCUUUAUAGUCCCCCACACGCCUCAAUAUUUGCUCGUUUGACAUUCGUCCCCAUUUUCACUCGGUAAAAAAAGGGGGAGAUUGCUGAGCUGGCAAAAACCCGCCUGUCCGGCGAAGGUCAAAGCGUUCCCGCGUCGCUGAUAAAUGAGUCGCACGCGCCGCAAUGACGUUCUGCUUCAUUGAGUUUAACGUGACUAAAGGAGGGCAAGCAGGUACGACGUGCCAAAACUGCUGAGUCACUUAAAAAGGAUUUCAUCAAGUGUAUUUGACUCAUCAUUUUUUGCAUGUGGGGUCAGGGGUUCGGUGUCCCAACACAUCCAGUAGAUGGCACCAUAGGGACACACUAAUUGGCUUAAAAAAACGAUUGUGCUAUUUCGAAAUGUAUUGCAAUUUUAUUUGAAGCUUUUAUUUACAAAUUCUGACACUGUUUGUAGAUUUAUGAACGCAACAAUAUAUGUCAUUUUUGAGGAUAUGGAUGAGUGUCGUUGUACAAGAGAAAGGAGGAACCCUCAGUAAUGCAACUCCUACUGCAAUGUCUACGUAAUUGCAGCAGAGGGCGCUACUAGCCCAUAAACAAGAACAAUCAUUAUCUGGGCCCCAACAGGACAGAAAAUAACUUGGGUGAAAAAAACAAAACAAAACAAAAAAGUGUAAUCUGCACUUUCCUGUGACACGCUGACACCAUCCAAAUGUUCCGGGCUAAUCUCGAUUUGUCUCACUCGUGUUUCUAGUAUUGACCAUGGAGCAACAUGCAGCUGGAAUGAGGAUAUGAUUUAAUCAGAUUUCAUCAUCUCAUAUGACUCAUUCAUGGGGCUCAGAGUGAAUCACAGAUGUCGGCAAAAGGUCACAAGACAAUUAGUGAACUCGAGUAGUACCUACUGAAAUGUCCAGUGAAUGAAAAUAUUGAUAUUUGUCACCUUGAACAAAUAACCAAACAAAUCAACACGUCAUUUCCACAAAACCUUUCAACAGAACUUUUUUUCUUUUACUUAGCUGUGGAUGUGUGGGUCUAUUAGAGGGAAGGAUUUAAUGGUUCAAAUGGUUGUUUAUGAAAAUAUAUGAAUUAACAUUCCCUCUCCGCUAUAGAGAAGCGUUACAUUGUGUCGCUAAUGGAUGCCUUGCGGUUUUGGAGGUCUGGUGACUCUGCCGGAUGACUGCUGAACUCGUGACGAGGCUAAACUCUCUCCUCUUGUACACAACAUAUAUCAUUGGUGCUAGCAUAUUAUCGGUGUUAGCAUUUGCGGAAGGAGGCCCAGGGAUUACAGUGUGACUCAUUAAGCAAAGGUUUAUUUCAAGCAUGGGGGAGGGAAGCACAUGAACGCUUUACUGGAUUACGUUUUAUUCCAGGAAAUGUAUAUGGAAUGUUAUGUUCAAGACCUGACUAUAUACUUUUUACGCAAUGCUGUAUGUAGAAUACAAUCUCACAUUGUCUUUUGACAUUAAAUUGUUCCAUUAGAUCUCAUGAA